UACGGGGGGAGCAAGCGUUGUUCGGAUUUACUGGGCGUAAAGGGCGUGUAGGCGGCCACCGCAAGUCGACUGUGAAAUCUCCGGGCUUAACUCGGAAAGGUCAGCCGAUACUGCGGGGCUAGAGUGCAGAAGGGGCAACUGGAAUUCUCGGUGUAGCGGUGAAAUGCGUAGAUAUCGAGAGGAACACCUGCGGCGAAGGCGGGUGCUGGGCUGACACUGACGCUGAUGUGCGAAAGCCAGGGGAGCGAACGGG
rnacentral:rRNA from 1 species